UGAAUGGGAUCACAACAUAGGUACAGGGC
rnacentral:piRNA from 1 species